AGCGAACGCUGGCGGCAGGUCUAACACAUGCAAGUCGAACGGACCCUUCGGGGUUAGUGGCGGACGGGUGAGUAACACGUGGGAACGUGCCCUUUGGUUCGGAACAACUCAGGGAAACUUGAGCUAAUACCGAAUGUGCCCUUUGGGGGAAGGAUUUAUCGCCAUUGGAGCGGCCCGCGUCUGAUUAGCUAGUUGGUGGGGUAAUGGCCUACCAAGGCGACGAUCAGUAGCUGGUCUGAGAGGAUGAUCGGCCACAUUGGGACUGAGACACGGCCCAAACUCCUACGGGAGGCAGCAGUGGGGAAUCUUGCGCAAUGGGCGAAAGCCUGACGCAGCCAUGCCGCGUGAAUGAUGAAGGUCUUAGGAUUGUAAAAUUCUUUCACCGGGGACGAUAAUGACGGUACCCGGAGAAGAAGCCCCGGCUAACUUCGUGCCAGCCGCCGCGGUAA
rnacentral:rRNA from 1 species